rnacentral:rRNA from 1 species
UACGAAGGGGGCUAGCGUUGCUCGGAAUGACUGGGCGUAAAGGGCGCGUAGGCGGUUUGUACAGUCAGAUGUGAAAUUCCUGGGCUCAACCUGGGGGCUGCAUUUGAUACGUGCGGACUUGAGUGAGGAAGAGGGUCGUGGAAUUCCCAGUGUAGAGGUGAAAUUCGUAGAUAUCGGGAGGAACACCAGUGGCGAAGGCGGUUGCCUGGAGCUUUGCUGACGCUGAUGCGCGAAAGCGUGGGGGAGCGAUCCGGG